AGAACGAACGCUGGCGGCAUGCCUAAUACAUGCAAGUCGAACGAGAUCCUUCGGGGUCUAGUGGCGCACGGGUGCGUAACGCGUGGGAAUCUACCCUUGGGUUCGGAAUAACAGUUGGAAACGACUGCUAAUACCGGAUGAUGACGAAAGUCCAAAGAUUUAUCGCCCAGGGAUGAGCCCGCGUAGGAUUAGCUAGUUGGUGAGGUAAAGGCUCACCAAGGCUACGAUCCUUAGCUGGUCUGAGAGGAUGAUCAGCCACACUGGGACUGAAGACGACCGGCCAGACCUCCGUACGGGAGCGAGACGGUAGGGAAUAUUGGAACAAGUGGGGGACCAAACCGU
rnacentral:rRNA from 1 species